AGAAAUUGUUUCUCUCAAUUCAUCCAGUAUCUUUUCUGUCAUUCAAAGGGCAAGAGAAAUCUGGAGUCGCGUGUGAGGAGCUUAACGCCUGCCAACAUUAGCAGCACUGAACACAUUCAGCAACAAUCCGUCAGCAUCUGAGAUCCCAUGCACGUGAGUGGAUACCACGCUGCAUGGUCAGUGGGUUGCUCUGUGCAUGCCUGGGAGUCAGCAGUAGGAGAUUUCCAGAUGCCAAGAAGUUUUCUCUGUACCUGCUGGCUGCUCGGCACUUGGCUACUUGGCACUUUGCUACUGUGCAUCUAAAAUCACAGUGCUCUGUGCUCGCUGCUGUUUACAACUGCUCAGUGUGAGCUCGCCCUGUUUUCCUGCAGGAAUUAGUUGCCUUGGUAGUGAGUAAAGAAAACUCAAAAUAUUUUAAAGAAGGAUGAAUGCGAAUGUGUGAUGCAGUUACCAUAAACUCACU
rnacentral:lncRNA from 1 species